CCAUAACCCUCCCAACUCAUUUCUCUUGGCCGGCCAAAGGAAGAAAAGGGAAGAAAAGAAGAAGAACAAAACCCUAGGUGAAAAAAUUCAAGGGAAAAGUGUGAAAAUUCAAAGAAUCAAGUGACAAAAGGUAAGAUUUUUCAACUAUAGCUUGUGAUCUACCUUUCCUAUGCAUUCUUUUUCAUUUUUCAUAGUUGAGAAUCAAGUUUCCAUGAGGAUACCCUUGCUGGCCGGACAUGGGGGGAGGAGUUUUGAUGCUUGAUUUGGUUAGAUUUCAAUAUAUUUUAGUGUUUUUAGUUAGUUAGUGAUGUGUAGUAUGAAAAGCCAACAAGAAAAAUUCACUUCCUCCCAUCACCCAUCAUUGGCCGAAUUCUCCAUGUAAAAUAUUGAUGAUAAUUUUGAUUUUAUUUCAAGUGAUUUGGUUAGGAAUUAGUGAUUUAUGGUGUGAGAAUCAAGCUUGAAAAAUUAUAAUUUUGAUGCACCCACCAUGGCCGAAUUUUCCAAGAGCAAAUGUGAGGAUGAUUUUGCCAUAUUUCAAGUUAUUUAAUUUGUGUUUGAUGAUUUGGAGUAUUGGGAGAAAAAUGGAAUUAUUUGGAGUUGAAUUGGACGUAUUGGCCAAUUAAUCGAGUAAUAGAUCGAAUUAGGCCAAUACCUUUUUAUUUAGGUACACAAUUGAAUUUAUGUAGAACACUGUGUUUAAAUGAUAAUCCGAACAAUUUACAUCCCAUUUCAUGCAUUAGUAUAAAGCCUGAAUUGGUUUUAUAACAAUUUAGCACAAAUGUAGUAAAUGGCUUAUUGUGCAUUAUGUCUAGGUGGUGAGCAUUCUCGUAAAAGUAAAGAGAUAGUACCCGAGGAUCAAGAAUCGAAGUACUCGAAAUUCGACUCCUGAAAUAGUGAGUAACCUUACUAUCAUCUUAAUUAUCUAAAGUGGUUUUUAUCCGAUUUUGUGAUUUUAUGAAAAAUGAGUUAAAUGGUAAAUCUUUAUGUUUUAAAAGAAAAAUGUGAUUAAAUGAAAUGAUGGUUUGAAAAUAGAGUAAUUGGAGACCGUUUUCAUGUGUUGUAAAUUCAUGGUUUGAAUCGAAUGGCUUAUGACAAUAUUUGCAUGAAUGGCUAAAUUUGUAUUUGUGUUGAAAUAUAUGAACUGUGUAUUUAGACUUGAGAGGCUGGAUUGUGAUAUAAUUGCCAUCUUAUGCGAUUGAGAUUUUAUUGAAUUGGUGGGUUUAGCUUGCUAUAGUGGGUGGGUUCCGUGGACCAGCCUAUUAGAGGGGCACGGUAACCUUGUUAUAUUCUUACCUCGGUCGGAGAGGUGUGUACGGUAACUCCUGAGGUACAACUUUAGAGUUCACUUCAUGCCAAACCACCACGUGAGGGUGAACUCAGCCAACGCCAAGGAACGACUAUGUUUUCAAAAUAAAAAUAUGAUUUAUGCGUACAUGACUUUUUAACAGCCUUGACGAACUCGGUUGGGAUAACCCCAAGCCAAGGUAUCCCUAAUAACUGAGUAUGAGAAUGAUUUUGGCAUGAGCCAAAGUUUUAAGAAAUUCAUAAGUCAUGUUGAUUACUCGAUUUAUAUGAAUUGAUUUUAUUUGGUUGAAAUGAGUUGAAAAGUGAUGAAUUACAAUAUGCUAAUCUAUUUUAUCUGUCUCCAUUUACUCAGCUUUAGAUAUUUUAGAUGGUAUUUGUGUACUCACUUGGAUUUUAUAAUCUCACCACCCUCAUUUUCACCCAUUUCAGGCUCAAGAUAGUCGGUAGAUAGCUCAUUUCAUUGAGGGCUACAGUUGGAAUUGCAUCCUCAAAAACUGUAGGUUUACCACUUUUAAUACUUUUGGUCGUUUGUGGGCCCACGUGUCACUGUAAAUUAAAUCUUAUGCUUUGGUUAUCUGUAUUACAAUAUGUAUGAAUUUAGUUAGAUUUUAUGCUAUAAAAAUUAUUUACCGGUAACUCUAUAAAUAUUAUUUUAUAAGAAAUUAGAAUAUUUUAUUAAAUAUUUUUAUUAUAUUCAUAGUUAUAGUUUCUCUUUAAAUGAAUGUUUUAGACAUCUAAACUUAUUUAUGAUUAUGAAAUAUGUGUUUUCCACUCGCAUACUACAUUUUUAGCUGGUUUCGAGACUUUCGAGGAAAAAUGACCAAAAUGCCCCUGUGAGUGAAAAAUUAUUUUUCUAUUGUUUUGAUUUGGAAAUAGUUUAUAAUCUCUCAGAAUAUGAUACUUAACAACUGUUGCUCACAGGGGAGGUGCGAAAACUGAUAUUAAAGCCUUGCGGGGUUUCAGUUGACAUUUCGGGUAAUGAGUGUCGAUCGGGACACCGCGACAGUUGUCACAGGCUCGAGGGGAGUACCGGGUCGUGACAGUCGGUAACUAGGUCAAGGUGUCUUCAUAGAUUCGACUCUUGAUAGGUGUCUCGACAUUCAGUAGCUGUACUUUCGUCCGAGUUUCUCUGCUAAAAAUCGAGUCUCCUUUUUUAGAUGUAUAGACAAACCUGAUGUAAAUUAUUAAGAUACAUGUUGCAGACAAUAUAUGUAUAUUUUGAUGAGUAAUGCCACUACGAGUUGGCAAUGAUUAGCAUUAUUUGAUUCGAAAUUAUGAAAUGUGACUUUAGUAAAUUUGAUGGAAUGAUGAACAGGUCAUAUUAAUAGGUUUGCUUGGGCUUAGUGGACUACGUCCAUUGUGCCCAUGCACUUGUCAUGGCCCGGAAUUUAGGUCGUGACAAUAUGUCUACCCGAAUUGCAAAUCAGAUCACCUAAUUGAUGUAAAC
rnacentral:lncRNA from 1 species